rnacentral:rRNA from 1 species
UACGUAGGGUGCGAGCGUUGUCCGGAAUUAUUGGGCGUAAAGGGCUCGUAGGCGGUUUGUCGCGUCGGGCGUGAAAUCCACUGGCUUAACUGGUGGCUUGCUUUCGAUACGGGCAGACUGGAGGUAUGCAGGGGAGAACGGAAUUCCUGGUGUAGCGGUAAAAUGCGCAGAUAUCAGGAGGAACACCGGUGGCGAAGGCGGCCAUCUGGACGGUAACUGACGCUGAGACGCGAAAGCGUGGGGAGCAAACAGG